UACGGAGGGUGCAAGCGUUAUCCGGAUUCACUGGGUUUAAAGGGUGCGUAGGUGGGCAGGUAAGUCAGUGGUGAAAUCUCCGGGCUUAACUCGGAAACUGCCGUUGAUACUCUCUGUCUUGAAUCCCGUGGAGGUGAGCGGAAUAUGUCAUGUAGCGGUGAAAUGCUUAGAUAUGACAUAGAACACCAAUUGCGAAGGCAGCUCGCUACACGAAGAUUGACUCUGAGGCACGAAAGCGUGGGGAUCAAACAGG
rnacentral:rRNA from 1 species